rfam:Triticum aestivum genome assembly, contig: Triticum_aestivum_CS42_TGACv1_scaffold_000407_1AL
UAGCUUUUGCUUUAAGUCAAAGUUUUAAAAUUUUGACCAACUUUAUAGAAAAUAGUAGUAACAUAUAUGACAUCAAAUUGAUAUAUUAUGAAAGUACAUUUCAAAACGAAUCUAGUGAUACUAAUUUGGUGCCAUAAAUGCUUUUACUCUUUUCUAGAAAGGUGGUCAAAGUAUUAAAACUUUGACUUAAAACAAAAGCUAGA